AAGUCGUAACAAGGUCUCCGUAGGUGAACCUGCGGAGGGAUCAUUACACAAUAACAAGGCGGGCUGGACACCCCCCGCUGGGCACUGCUUCACGGCGUGCGCGGCGGGGCCGGCCCUGCUGAAUUAUUCACCCGUGUCUUUUGCGUACUUCUUGUUUCCUGGGUGGGCUCGCCCGCCCUCAGGACCAACCACAAACCUUUUGCAAUAGCAAUCAGCGUCAGUAACAACGUAAUUAAUUACAACUUUCAACAACGGAUCUCUUGGUUCUGGCAUCGAUGAAGAACGCAGCGAAAUGCGAUACGUAGUGUGAAUUGCAGAAUUCAGUGAAUCAUCGAAUCUUUGAACGCACAUUGCGCCCUUUGGUAUUCCAAAGGGCAUGCCUGUUCGAGCGUCAUUUGUACCCUCAAGCUUUGCUUGGUGUUGGGCGUCUUUUGUCUCCAGUUCGCUGGAGACUCGCCUUAAAGUCAUUGGCAGCCGGCCUACUGGUUUCGGAGCGCAGCACAAGUCGCGCUCUUCGCCAGCCAAGGUCAGCGUCCAGCAAGCCUUUUUUUCAACCUUUGACCUCGGAUCAGGUAGGGAUACCCGCUGAACUUAA
rnacentral:rRNA from 1 species